rnacentral:rRNA from 1 species
UCCGCCAGGUAACUACAAGCACAGCUUAAAACCCAAAGGACUUGGCGGUGCCUCAGACCCACCUAGAGGAGCCUGUUCUAGAACCGAUAAUCCCCGUUAAACCUCACCACCCCUUGUUUUUCCCGCCUAUAUACCGCCGUCGCCAGCUUACCCUGUGAAGGUUUAACAGUAAGCAAAAUGGGUUUAACCCAAAACGUCAGGUCGAGGUGUAGCGCAUGGAGUGGGAAGAAAUGGGCUACAUUUUCUGCCACAGAAUAUUACGAAUGGUGUCCUGAAAUCUGACACCUGAAGGAGGAUUUAGUAGUAAAAAGCAAA